UUCGCAUAUAAGUAUAUAUGUAAAAUAUAUAAAUGUGCUGAUAUGUAUAAAUUUGUGUGCUAAGUUAAGGAAUUCCUGUUGUCGACUUUAUGUUUGACUUUUACAUCACAGUUCCCAGUUAUCUCAGAUAGGAAGAAAUAAUACAAAAAGAACAAGAAAAUGGUAAUAAACAAUCAAGUAUUGUAGCUCAUCUGAAGAUAGAUUGUCUUAUAUAAAUGUAUCCCACAUUAUAAAAAUCACGCAAUAGAUACUUAUGGCGUUUAUUAUUACUCAAACACCUUUAACAAAUAAUGUUGUUUGAUAAUGAUGUGGGAACAAGAGACUGCAGACAUAUUACAUAUGAUUAUUACAUAUUAUAUAAUAAAUAAUAUAUCUAAUAGCAAAAAGAAAUUACAUUGUGUUGAAUUAUAUAAGGUAAAUAAAUACAAUAGUAAUACAAUUAUAUAUCAAUUGUUUAUAUAAUAUUUUACAGUAACAAUAAAAAUCAUACUAAAUUAUAA